rnacentral:rRNA from 1 species
AGAACGAACGCUGGCGGCGUGGAUAAGACAUGCAAGUCGAACGGGCUUAAUUUUAGAGCAAUCUAGGGUUGAGCCAGUGGCGAACGGGUGCGUAACACGUGAGUCAUCUGCCUGAAAGUGGGGGAUAGCUCGCCGAAAGGCGAAUUAAUACCGCAUGUGGUUGUGAAACCAAAGCCGGGGCAACCUGGCGCUUUUAGAGGAGCUCGCGGCCUAUCAGCUUGUUGGUGAGGUAACAGCUUACCAAGGCAACGACGGGUAGCUGGUCUGAGAGGACGACCAGCCACACUGGAACUGAGACACGGUCCAGACACCUACGGGUGGCAGCAGUCGAGAAUUUUUCUCAAUGGGGGAAACCCUGAAGGAGCGACGCCGCGUGGAGGAUGAAGGCUUUCGGGUUGUAAACUCCUGUCAUUUGGGAACAAAGUCUUACGUUAACUGCGUGGAGAUUUGAUAGUACCGAAAGAGGAAGAGACGGCUAACUCUGUGCCAGCAGCCGC